rnacentral:rRNA from 1 species
GACGAACGCUGGCGGCGUGCUUAACACAUGCAAGUCGAACGAUGAUCAGGAGCUUGCUCCUGUGAUUAGUGGCGAACGGGUGAGUAACACGUGAGUAACCUGCCCCUGACUCUGGGAUAAGCGUUGUAAACGACGUCUAAUACUGGAUAUGAUCACUGGCCGCAUGGUCUGGUGGUGGAAAGAUUUUUUGGUUGGGGAUGGACUCGCGGCCUAUCAGCUUGUUGGUGAGGUAAUGGCUCACCAAGGCGACGACGGGUAGCCGGCCUGAGAGGGUGACCGGCCACACUGGGACUGAGACACGGCCCAGACUCCUACGGGAGGCAGCAGUGGGGAAUAUUGCACAAUGGGCGAAAGCCUGAUGCAGCAACGCCGCGUGAGGGAUGACGGCCUUCGGGUUGUAAACCUCUUUUAGUAGGGAAGAAGCGAAAGUGACGGUACCUGCAGAAAAAGCACCGGCUAACUACGUG